UCCAAAGUUAGUUAAGAGUGAAAUCAGGGCUACCAAAGUUUAAGUCAGCCCAAGACAGACUGACCAUGCCCAACCUGUAUAUGAUGACCCUGUACGUCUGAGCACAGGGCCGCUCACCAUCACCCCUCCAUCUCAGUGCCUGAGCCCUCCAUCACCUGAGCACUGUGCUUCUAACCAUUAUUGCACCCCCAGACCCCAGUCUGCCUUCAGUCUGGCAUUAAACAAAGAGCACUACAUCUUUUCCCGAUGGCCAACCACACAGAUCCACCCUGGCACAUGCACACCUGAAAGGCAGGAUCCUGCUAGGAUCACGAUGGGAUGCACAUCAGCCGAGAUCGUCCACCUGGAGAGCUGUGACUCCAUGGCACCAACUGUGGCAGGCCCACUGGGUGAGCACCAGAGGAAAUGAAGAAGUGGAAUUCUCUCAUGGGACUUGUACAUUGAGUGCAAAUAAACAGAAGACAGUCAGUGCCAACACAUCUGAUGGUGGCACCUAAUGGGAAGUCCACAGGACCCCCUGCAGAGAUUCCUAGAGCUGCCCUAAUCCCUCCCUUUCCCGAGCAC
rnacentral:lncRNA from 1 species